UACGUAGGGUGCAAGCGUUGUCCGGAAUUAUUGGGCGUAAAGAGCUCGUAGGCGGUUUGUUGCGUCGGCUGUGAAAUCCCGAGGCUCAACCUCGGGUCUGCAGUCGAUACGAGCAAACUAGAGUGUUGCAGGGGAGACUGGAAUUCCUGGUGUAGCGGUGAAAUGCGCAGAUAUCAGGAGGAACACCGGUGGCGAAGGCGGCUCGCUGGGCCGGUCCUGACGCUGAGACGCGAAGGCGUGGGGAGCGAACGGG
rnacentral:rRNA from 1 species